AACGUAGGUUCCGAGCGUUAUCCGGAUUUACUGGGCGUAAAGCGCGUUCAGGCGGUUUGGCAAGUCGGGCAUGAAAUCUCUCGGCUCAACCGGGAGAGGUUGUCCGAUACUGCUGGACUUGAGGGCAGUAGAGGGUGGUGGAAUUCCGGGUGUAGUGGUGAAAUGCGUAGAGAUCAGCAGGAACACCCGUGGCGAAGGCGGCCCCCUGGGCCGUACCUGACGCUGAGGCGCGAAGGCUAGGGGAGCGAACGGG
rnacentral:rRNA from 1 species